UUGGGGGUCACUGUGAUUGCAGGGGUUGGGUAUUAUCCAGGAGCUUCAUUUGCAAAAGCAGUUUUGUGUGAUUGUGGGAGGGAAGCCCAGGCAGUGGGGAGGGGCUGCCCCUGACCUCAGCAGAGCCACCACCCUAAGGCCAAAUUGCACACUCCCCCUCUGCCACCACUGUGACUGUUACCCUCCUGGUUUACAGCUGAGGAGACUGAGGCUCAGGGAGGAGGACGGUCCGGCUAAGGGCACAAGGGCAGGCCAUGGCAGCGGGUCUUGUCCUCCCCACCCAUCACUCUGACCUCGCCCUAACCCCCUGGACCAAGUGAUGCCCUUUCCAGGGAGAAAUAUGAUGUCUGGGGAAGUGGCUUAGCGCCCUUGGGGAAAUCAGCACCAGACAGAAUAUGGUCAGACACUCAACCUGUGCCCCCAGCCCUCAGAAGUGGCUCCGCAGUGUGCCAAGCCCUGUGCCCGUCGGCUGUGGCCCUGCCUCCAGGACCUCAUAGUGGAGGGAGACAAGAGAUCCUGAUGCAGAGGGAUCCUGAGAAAGAGGGGUAAGGACUCCAUGGGUUUAGGAGGUGAAGAUGGGACUGUACCCAGCCCAGGAGUCCUAGAGGGCUGCUUGGAGGAAGAGGCUUCUGAGCUGAGACCUGCCAGAAACAGAUAAUUAGCUGGAGGCAGCCCUGGAUAUUUGGGUCCUGAGGGCCAGGGCAACUGUGGGGCAUCUUGGGGCGGAGCUCCCGCCACCCCUCCCCAUGCUCAUUCCACAGCUGCCAGGCCUGGGCAGGGCCACCCAUCCUGGCGCCCAGCGGGACUGCACAGCUGUGGCCAUCUGCAGGGCUGGCCAAGUUGGCAGUGUUUGGCUGCUCCGGGUCUCCCAUAAGAGUCACUGCAGAGUGGAUCAAUGUUUGGGAGGCCCUGGUGCCAUUAGAAAGCCUGUUUUUCUCUAGCAGAGCUGGGCACCUUCCGGGUCGCCUUCACCCACCCUGGAGAGCAGGCAUCACCACCCAUCUGACAGGCCCCAGAAGGACCCAGAGUGAGGCUCAGAGAGCUGAAACUGGCCAGGCACACCACGUCCCACCAGGUGUCCCAGGGCUCUGUCCCCAGGACACUCAGUAUCCAAUGGAGGACCUGUGCUCCAGCUGGCACUGCAAGGGCACAGAUACUGGCUCUGGAUACUACUAGAGGCAGAGGCUGGGAAUGGCCCUGAAACAAGCAUGAUUAGGAAGUGGCAGGACCAGCUCUUAAGGUCGACAUGCUGACCUGCUGGACCUGUGCAGCUGAGGAGCCCACCCUCCUGGAAAUCGAAGGUCCUCUUCUGGUCUGGCUCCCCGCCCUGAAGCCGUGUGGACUGAGCUGUGUCAUGGGCCAAGCUAUCUCUGGUUCCUGGGAUGGAGAAGCCCUGGCUGUGGCCCCUGGGAGUCCCAGCCCUAAGCACAGCUGCAGCGCUGGUAAGGGCUGGCCCCAUAGUGUUGGCUGUCACGGCAGCACGAGGAAGGGCAGCUGCCUGCAGGAAAAAUGCUUCCCAGGACAUCAAGAGUUGUCCUCAAAAAGAGAGGACCAUGGACAAGAGGGAUUUUCUAGCUAGAGGCCAGGAGUGCAAAAGAAAUGCAAAUUCCUGCAAGAUGAGCGCUUAAGGUAGGAAAGGUGUCAGUGUGCCCUUGGGUAGGUGUGGGGACAGAGGUGACGUAGUGGGGACCCAGCUUCCCUAUGAUUGCAGCAGUGUGCUCACUCCUUUUCCUGCACAGCUGCAUCAGGAAACUGCCUGCAUUGUUUCUCUGUCAUCUGUCUGUCUGUCUUUUAUGUCUAUGUUUGCUGAUGAUUAAAACCAGGGUUAGGCAAGGGCUGUACCACAUCAUCAACCCUUUUAACUUUGAGAUGGGACCUUGCUGAUUUUUCCAGGCUGCCCUGAAAUUUACUCCUGUCUCGGCCUCUAAAGGAGCCAGAAUUACAGGCAUACACUACUACAUUGGCUUCUGACUGCUUUGCUCACCUUUAUAUGCCAGACCUAUCCCAGUGCCCAGCACAGAGCAGUGACUCAACCCUGUGCAGGCAUCACCAAUCAAUCACAUCACUCUUCCGCUCAGUCUAGAAGUGCCCCUGAGGACUCCUCAGAGCCACACAUGUGGUAAGACUUACAUGCACCCUGGUCAAGUCCAGAACUCAGAUUUUUCAGAUGUCCAAAUAGCAUACUUUCAAAGUUGGGGGAAGGGACCAUAGUCAUAACUGAACAUUUACAAGUGAUUUCUGUGUAUCAGGCACAGUUCUCAACUCUUCACAAGUAUUUAAUUUCUGUGACAUCCCUAUGACAUUAGUGAUAUUCUUGAUCUUCCCAUGUUCAUUUUGGUUUGGUUUGGUUUUGAAACCCAGUGUCAAUAAGUCCAGGGUGGCCUUGAACUCACCAAGUUGCCCAAGUUGGCCUCCAACUUGUGACCCUCCUGCCUCAGCCUCCCAGGUGCUGGGAUUACAGCUGUGUGUCAGCACACCCUGUUCCUCUUCCUGGUUUAGAGGGGAAGCUGAGGCACAUCAGGAAGUUGCAAGCAAGGGUUUAAGGCCAGGAGCCGGACUUUCAAUUUCCAUGUCCUGCGCGGCUCCUCUGCUCACGUGGAACCUGUGGACCCCAGAGCCGGCCAAGUUGCCGGCUGUGCAUUCAGCCUCACUGCGAGGUCCUGCCUUGGUCUUAUCCUAGCUGAGUCAGAGCUGGCAGGGCCCAGCCAGGCCUGGGAUCCAUCUGCCUUUCCGCAGCUCUGGGCCCGUUUCCUCCAGCCUAGAUGGCUUCCCGCGGUGUCUCUGCAGGCCCUUUCAAGUCCCCUGGCACCUCCAGCCCCACUUCCUGUGACCCAUGGCCCUGGCCUGACCCGCUCCACUCAAUUUCCCAAGAUGAGUUGCAGAAGCUUCGGAGUCUGUGUGCGGACACCAGAGAAUUAACGAGCUGCUCCCCGGCAGUUGGCAGUUUCCAGGCACCAGCUGGCCUGGAGUAUUUACCCGGCACCCUCAGAGCGAGACAAUUAAAUGGAGCUUAGGCCGGGGUGCAGAGAUGUCUAUGAUCAGACAAAACCCUCCUAAGAUGUUUUUCUAAGGGAUCGGUGCCUGAGGCAAGUUUCCAGGGCCCUGCAGUCUUUAUUCAUUCUUAAUAGUGUAUGAUAUGCUAAUUCCAGACCACUUAUUAUAUAUAUAUUUGCUCAUUUAUUUAGUAUUUACUAUGUGCCAGGCUUUUUACUUUGUUAAAUACUCUGCAAAAGAUUCAAUCAUCUCAAGCAGACGUAAUUAUUCCAUUUUGCAACAGAGGAAACUGACCCUGGUAGGAUGGGCAGACAUCUCCCAGGUCAUUCCAGGAAGCAGAAUUUGAACCCAGAAUGGUCCGACUCCAAUGUUCUGUUUCUUGCCAUAGGCCAGGCCCCCUUCCUGUGUUGGGGUGCACGGCACAGCAUGUGAGGCACAGUGUUAGGCUGUGCCAACAGCAAGAGGAGACCCAGUGUACACCAGUACCUACUCUGUACCAGGCACAGAGUUGUAGGCCAAGCCCCGCUGCGUGCUGAGAGAUGUUCUAGAGAUCAUGUGGUGCAGAUGUGAGCCCAGAAAGUCUGGCACUCUUAAAUUUUUUCCGAAGGUGGCAUUGGACACACCCCAGUGCUGAGCCUGAGGUCUGAUUAGGAGUCUGCAGGUAAAGAGGGGACUUUCCAGGUGAAGAAUUCAGGUUUGACACCAUGGUGCUCUGCAUGCUAAGGAAGGGGCUGGGACUGUCUGCCCGGGAGUCUGAUAAGAGGAUUGAGCUCAGUAGCUUUGUGCUGGGGACCUGGGCACCAGCCACGGAGAAGAGGCCGAGGACGUGGGAGCCGAGUCAUUGCUGCCACCCGCCAUGCCCAAGGCAGGAAGGCUGCCUGCUGAUACCACACAGCAGGGACCCUGUCCUUGGGCCCUAUGAAGGUGGGGUCAAGAUGAGCACUUGGCCCUUGAGAUGCCCAGGCCCUCCUGCUGCCCUCUGGGAGCAUCACAUCCACACUUCUCUUUGGGCCUUGGUUCUCCCCAAAUCAAAGAAGGAUCAGAACCAGAGGUCACCAUGCGCCUCUGUACCCACAGUCCUCUGAGACACAGGGGUGCGGGCAUCCCUUUCUCAGGCGUUUCCAGCUGGGGGUGGGUGGGGCAGGGAUGCAGUGGCUUCCAGGGACCACGGCCAUUCAGGGACAGCCCAACCCCAGCAGAGCUGCCCAGGCAGGAAAUCACCUGCCAACCUCUCCACCCCAAUCCAGCAAGCACUUUGUGAUUACUGGUCACCAAGUCUCUGCUGAGUCGUCACUUGGUCCUUGUUACUCUAGGGUAAUGCUGGGAAAAGUCAGCUCUCACGGGGGACUUUCAGACAUCCCAGAAGGACAGAGCCUCGUCUCCUCCCCAAGCUCACUCAGCGCUCUGACCACUAGUGGCCUGCUUAUUGCAAUGCCCUGUUCCAGUGGGGUCAGGUGACACCAAGCAAAACUAGGGAGUCAGAAGAAACAAAGUCUGAUCUCAGCUUGACCACUCAUUGGCUGUGUGACCCAGAGCGAGUCCCUUGCCCUCUCUGAGCCGCCAUUUUCUCACCUGUAAGCUGAGAAGGGUUGGAUGGAUGAAGUCUUCCGAGUCCUGGGUGUGAACAUGCAUCACCCAAGCCCUGUCCCAUUUCUGCUGCUAGGCUGAGGGAGGGUUCAGCCAUCCCGUGCUUUGGGCACCACGAGCCUAGGAGACCAAGUCAGGGGUCAGCUCCAACACCUGUGACCCCUACACUGGACCCAAAUUUUCCAUGCACUUCUGUGUCUGAGCCCUUCUCCCUGGUUGACCCCAGUGGGUCAGGACAGCAGGUCACCUGCCCCAUACAUAGGAUAUCGGGUCCAGGCAGAAAGGAAAUGGCUUUUCCCCGCACUGGACACUCUCGGUCCAGUGCCCCCAAGCCUGUCUGUCCUUGUAGUGGUGAGAUGACCCUCCUUGGAUGCUGGGCUUGGUGGGAUGAGCCUUGCAGCCCUGCCCCGUGUAGCUGUGUGACCUGGGGGCAGGUUACUUCCCUCCCUGAGCCACUGGACAUUUGUCUCACCUCCUUCUGUGGUCUGGGGAGAAGCAUGACAUCAUAGUGGGUUUGGACACCAGUCAGUGCCCCUGAGUCACACACCUUUGGUGAGAAAAGCACUAAGGGCUGGAUGGAGAUGGAAAUUAUAAGCCUACAAAGCUGUGGUGGGGAGGGAGUGGUACCAGAGGUGCCUAAGCUGCCAGCUGAGCUGGAGGGACCUCUGGAAAAAGCUGGGGCUGCGCAGAGCCAGGGGCUGGGGCGUGGCUCAGUGCUACAGCACUUACCUAGCAUUUACAGAGUCCUGGGUUACAGCCUCAGCACUGCCAAAACAGCAACAAAAAUCUACUUUGCCAAGAAGGUGCCUGUAAGGAGCAGGAGCGGGGCACUUCAGGGACAGUCACAGUGAGAAGCAUGUGGCACCGGGCAUCUGGGUUGAACUGGAUCCUGGCCUCAGCCUCCUCAUCUGUAAAAUGGGCACGGAGACAGUCAUGAGGAUCAAAGGGCUGGGGACCAGCCUGGUAUCACUGGGGCUUCAUAAGCAGUCGCUGGCUUUGAUCUUCACAGUGGGUGGGCGUGAUGGGUGGCUGUUUCCAGCUGUUCGAGGCUUUGCAAGCAACCUGCGCCUGGCAGGUGUUUGAUGGGAGUUGGUUGGAUGGCCAGAUCGAUGAUUUGGUGAAUGGACAGAGAGAAACAAAUGAAUGACCAAUGGCCACCCUCGCCGAGGAGCUUAAUCUGUGUUUUGUGUGCCGCCAGCUAACUGCUGACAUCUAGUAGCCUCUAAUUGAUGGUUUGCAACUUAUUUAAUUAGGCGUAUUGUAUUAUGUAUUUGUGUCACGGUUCAAUCUGACAAUUCAUUAUAAUCUUUUUAAAUCCAAUCCCUUACCUAGUACUGUUUUGUUUACAAACAUGACCACACCUGCCAACUGGCCUCAUCCUCAAGGUAACCUGUCAGGCAGGUCCUCGGCUCCUGUUUUCCAGGUAAGGAAACCGAGGCUCAGAAGAGUUUAGUGACUUUUUAUAGGUAACACAGCUCUUAAGCUGCAGGGCCAGAAUUCAGACCCUGGAUCUUUUUUGUCUUCCUGGGGCACUGCCUGUUGGGGUGUAACACUUCGGCAACCUUGGAGCCAGGUGUGGAAGUGUCCGGUGGGCUGAGGGAGGCAGAAGGGGGAGACAAGAAGAUGAAGUAGCCUCUUAGAGACCAGAGGCUUCGGGUGGGAGCAGCACAAUGCCUGUUCCAGGCUGCAGCCUGCUCCCUGGGAAGAAUAAGGGGCCCCGGCCACAGGAGGCUGACCUCCUGGUGGGCACCUGAGGGGCCUGCAGCUUCUUUACUGAAGAUCGCUGGGGGCCACCUCAAGUGCAGCCCUGAUCACAGAGGGCAGAUCCCGGGAACUCUGGGCGGGAGUGUCCCUGAGCGGGUGUUCGGUGGCUUUGGUGCAUUAAAUGCAUCUGUGGCUUGUGCCAUUUCCAGCUUACGGUGGCCCCACUGGGACAACAUCAUGGUGAAGAGGGGCGCCCGUAUGUAUUCCAUUCCAUGCUCCUGUACCACCCUCUACCCCGCAUCUGCCCGCAUCACCCCCACAGCCCGUGCCCCCCAUUCUGAGGUUUAGAAGCUGUCAUCCCCCAUGUGUUUGUUUGCCUGUAUUUGCAGUCAGCACCUUGUCUGUGGACCCACGGGGCCCACGUCUGUGGAUUCAACCAGCCGUGGAUGGAAAAUAUUCGAGGGAAAAUUACAUCUGUACCAAACAUGUACAGACUCUCUUUCCUUGUGAUUGCUCCCUAAACAAUACCAUGUAACAACAAUUGACGUGGCGUUUACAUUCUAUCAGGAAUUACAAGUCAUCGAGCGAUGGUCUGGUGUCUGCAGGAGGACGCGUGUGGGUCCUGUGCCGUUGCUCUGCUGUUUUGUAUCAGGGAUCUGAGCCUCUGUAGGUUUGGGUACCCCCAGGAGUCCUGGAGCAUCCCCAAGGGACGACUGUGUUUCGUUACUGAAGAUCGCUGGGGGCCACCUCAAGUGUGGCUCAGCAGGGCAGUGGGAAGCAGGUGCCCAGGUCCACAUCCAGAGCAGGAGAAAGAGGCCAGAUUCCGCCUGGAGGAGGCAGCCCUGUGCUCCCGGGCAAGAAAACAGGACAAACGGAGAAAGACUGUCACCACCAGGCAUGUGUUUGAUGCCAUGCGGUGCCUUUUCCCUCCUCUCCACAGUCUCCCUUGUGGUGCCCCAGAGUGGCCUCCUCCGGCCCUCUGUAGACCAGGGCACCAAGGCCAGAGAGGUGAAUGACCGCAUUCCCUCCGGGUCACACGGCGAGGUGCCUCUUUCCAGGAUGGGGUGAGUGUACUGGACAGGAUGGCCAGGACACGAGGGAAAUAGGAAGCCGGCACCCCCAGCCCAGUGCCCAGAGCUGUACAGCUGUAUCUCUCCACCACCCCCACCCAGGCCAGCCGAGGCCACAGGCCGCGUGGUUUACAAGGCACAGCGUGGCCUAAGCUGUUUGGCCUCCCGGAUGCAGGCCGGCUCAUCUGGGGCACGUUUGCGCCUUUAUGAGUGUUCUUCAAAAGGUUAGCUCUGUGCUCGUCACCAUGGAGACAGCGCUGGGUGGCUGAAACAGUGUGCCCUCCCAGGCCACGAGUGCAGGCUGCCGGGUACUGCUGUGUGCCAUGCGGGCCUGGUCCCCAAGGCCUCCCUCAGGGGCACUCGAUGGGGGGCGAGGGCCCCGGGUGAAAUCCAGUCCAGGAGAAGUGACAGCAUCAAGUCUGCAGCAUGGAUGGGGCUGGGAUCCCCCCUCUGCCCCGUGGGUGGCUCCCCAUGGAUCACACCCUUGGACUUGGGAAUCCGGGUCUGAAUCCCGAAGCUUGGCCACAUACCCUACAACCUCCCCAAUUCCCAUUAUGUGAGCAGAAACCGGCCCAGAGAAAGGAAGGGAUUUAUCCGAGGUCACCCGUCAAGGCGAAGGCUGAGGCACCUCCCGCUGCCCACACACACACACACACACACACACACACACACACACACACGCGGGCAGGGCUGCGUCCUGUCCCAGGAGGACGGGCUGGCUGAGGCUGGCCUUGGCCCCCAGCCUCUUUGGCUCUCACUUUGGAUUCACGUCUCCAGGGCCGUUCAAAGAUUCCAAAGGCGUUUGAAGGUUUUGGAGGCAAUUUGUCAGUCCUGGAGAUUGUUCCGAGGCUCCAAAGGCUGUUUAAAGAUUCCAGAAUCUGUGGCGUGCACAAAAGCCGGUGUUCUAGGCUUUGGGGAGCCUGAUGCGGCAGGACAGCAAGGUGCUGGGCUACGCUGCAGGGAGGCUGAUGGCAGCGUGAGCUCCCCGCUCUCUCACUGAGGUCUCUGUCUGCGAAGCCACCAGGCCGCUCUGGCGUCUGCUGGGAAGAGGAGCAGGAGCUGUGUGGAUGUCACCUCGGGAAGCCAGGGUUUAGAAUGCAGCCCUACUGCUCACUUGUGGAGCGACCCAGGGGAAGUUACUUAACCUCUCUGGGCCUCUUUUCCCCUCAUUUGGAAUUCACUGUACUGCCUGUUCUGCAGGCCCAACCGUCCCCCUUCCAUCUUGUGUCAGGCAUUUGUGGGGUUAGUCAGGGGACACCCCAUCCUGUGCUGGUCAGCAGUGUCCUGACUGCUGCUGCUACAGUUUUCGGGGUCUCCAUCCAGGUGGGAACCUGGCCUCCUGCUUGCCUACCACCAGACCUCUCCAAGGCUGUAUCCAGUACUUGGGAAGGAGCCAUGGGCCAUGCAGGUCAGAAUGACCAAGACGCCCGUGCCCACCCAUGUGCCCUGAGAGCCCAGGCCAUAGUCCUUUGCCUGCUUCCUGCCCUGUCACCAGCUCCAGCUUUAUCACACCCUACCUCCAUCCCCUGUCACUGACCCAGAUCCCCCCAUCCUUUCCCUCCUCCCCCAUGUGUCAUGGUGCUACUUCCUCUGGGCUUUGCACAGGCUGUUCCCUCUGCCCAGAAUGCUGUUCCACCUCUGACCUCACAGGCCUCCUCCAUCCCCUCUCCCCACAGCACCUGCACAGGCCAGGCCUGGAGCUGAGAGUCAGACAAACCCAUGGCCUGGCCGGGCCUCUCUCCUGCAGCAUGGCCUAGGAUAGGCCCAUGGCCCAGCCCACCCAAGCCUCAGUUUCCCCCAUACACAGCAGAGUAAUAACUCAAGCUGCCAGUCUCCCAGACAGGUUUGGAGAGUCAGAAGCAGAAGUGAGGGACAGGAGUAGGGGUAUAAACCGCAGUGCCCAGCAAUGCUGCCCACAUGACUCACCCACCGUCACCCUGGGGCUCUGUCCACACCACUGCUGUGGAACCACCCGUGGCAGCUGGGCACCAUCACACCAAGCACCAUCAUUACACCUGAACUCUGCUAAGUUCUCUGCUUAUUUUUAACAUGUGUCAGCUCAUCGAGUACCUCCCCAGCAGCUGAGGAAGCAGGCACCGAUGGUUCUGUUUCCCAGAUGAAAUGUGGCCCAGAGAGGCUUAGCAACUCAUCAAAGGUCACACAGCUAGAAAGUAUCCCAGCAACACCAGAACUCACACCCACCUGGCACCAGCACAUGUUGCUAGAUGAUGCUAAUUUCUGUCUUUUUUAGUUCUGUAACCACAUAUUCUGUAUAAUCCCGCCCAGUAGCCUUGUGUCCAGCCCUCUCUGUGCUUUGGGCAUCCGGGGUUUGUCUGUUGGGCCACCUGGGAUUGUUACAGGGCGGCUGUGCUGUGGUCUGGAUGCCCAUUCGGCAGACACUAGCGUGAAACUUCAGAGCAGCCCAGCCCAUUAGCUCUCCCCUGGGAGCCCCGGGCGGACUCCAGUUCUCAGGUCCUGUGUCCUCCGUCGGACUGGCCAUCCCACUGCGUGUGAUAGUCGGGGGCGACCAACCAGGCAGCUGGGACAGGACAACCCUGCCCCAAGAGCCAUGGGUUCAGGCUGGGUGGGGAGCAGCCGUUAGGUCGUGGAAGUGCUUAGUGGGAAGGGCCCAGCCGCGGGUCCCCUCCCUGCAGGGCCGCUGGAGUGGACGGAGUUGUGUGUUCUUUCCUUAGGGCUGUGUGACCUGGGAGGAGACACGCAGCCUCUCUGAGCCUCAGUCUGUCACCUCCCUUGCGCCACUGACCCUUUUGUCCCUCCCUGGACCCCGUCGCCCACCUGUAUUCAGGGUCAUCACGCUGUCGUUUCCGUCCUUUAGGCUUUACACAAGUGGCUGCCGAGCCCGGCCUGCUCCCCGUCCACCCCCACCCAGCCGUCCUGCCCUCUCCCCUAAGCACUCACACUCCUCACCCUGUCCACAGUCCCUCCCAACAUCUUAGCAUUCGCUGGCCCUGCAGGCCCCCUCCGCACCCCAGCCUAGAUCUGGGGCCUCCCCACCGCGCCCCCACCUUGCCAUCAGCCCCUUGUCCCCUUCCCUCUGGCAGCCAGAGCCAUCUUCCUGAACUGGAAGCCUGGGCCCGGCACACCCGGGUCACACACAGGGCAGAACCGAACUCCUGCUCACCCCGCGAGGAAGGCCCGGCCGCGUCCUCCCAGCCUGACGCCUGUGCGUGCACCUGCACUGCCCCAGCCUAAUGCCUCCUCCUCUCCCUUCCCCAGCCUCAGUCUUCUAACCCUUCAUCCCCCAUUCAGGGUUCUGCCUCCACCCCUUCCCCGAGCCUGGGCUGGUUGCCUAGCCUGCUGGCACCAUGUCCCCAUGCUUGUCACUCUGACCGUCAUCACCUGCUUGCCUGGCUCCCUCCCUAGUCAGUGGAACCCCGUCUCCUGGUUCCAGGAUGGCCUUUGGGUGUUGGAGCAACUGUCCCUGGAAAGAAUCUCACUUCCCGGCUUGCCAGCAGCUGGUCAGACUCUGCCCGCAGCUCCCAAGCUGUGCUGUGUGACCCCAGGCAAGUGCCUCCCCCUCUCUGUCCCUUGGCUGCUAAGCAUCUAUAAAAGAACACAGUGGAACUGGGUGGCUUCCCAGGGCUCUGUCAGUUCAGCAGGUCCCAGCAGAUGCCUCUGUGUCUGCUGGUCUCUGUGCCCUGUUGUCCUGCCUUGAAAUUCCAGCUUUCACCUUUCACCACUCUGGGAGUGGCCUCUCUGGUGACCCUGCUGUUCCCACUCUGCUCCCAGACUUCCUGUGGGGACCGAGUUCUCCCUUGUGCAAUUCCAGAUCCAGGUCGAAGGGCAGGCCUGGAAACCUCGCGUCCCCCACCUACCCGGCUGUCCUGGGACUGGCCAUCUGCACAGCCUCAGCAGGACCAUUAACUCACCGGCCAGUUAGGCCAGAAGACGUGCCGCGGUGUGCGGUGUGGCUCUUGGAAGAGCCUAGACAGGAGCUGGUCAUACUCACCCUGUCCACGAGUCCUCCGUGGACGGAUGCCCGCAGCCCUCCCCAAAGGGAUCAGGUCAGAACCUCGAAACAACCCCAUGGAGAUUUGUGUCCCAACCCCUUUGGGAGCCAUGAGAAAAGAGGAGGUGACUCAGACAGGUGGCCAGGCUCGGGCACAACUGAUAAUGGCAACACCGAGAUUGGAACCCAGGUCUUUCUGGCAUCAAAGUCUUGGUCUUCCGAUGUUUACCUAUGUGUCCCCAAAGUGUCACAUGAAAGGCUACAAGAGAGCUGAGGAGUUAGCUCAGUGGCAUAAGCACCUGGUUGGCAAGCGUGAGGUCGAGAGUUCAAUCCCCAGUACAAAAAAAAAGAAGGAAAAAGAGCUACAAGAGCCGCAGCUUUUAUAGAGCAACUAGGGAAGAAAUAAUCUGAUAAUAAUUAUAAUGGCCACAACAGCAGCUGUUACUGACCAGCCCAUCAUUAUGAAGCAAACCCUUUACCAAGUAGGGUCACAUCCACUCUGCAUUUCCUUCCUGAAUUGCACAAAGGAAGUAUGCACGAUUAGACCCAUUUCACAGAUAGGGAAACUGAGGCUCUGUUGGUAGAGCUAGGAUUUACACUGGGUAUGUCUGAAUUUACAGGAUGCAUUUUUUUUUUUUUUUUUUUUGUAUUUUUACUGGUACCAGGGAUUGAACUCAAGACCACAGGCUUGCAAGACAGGCACUUAUGCCUCUGAGCUAAAUCCCCAGCCCCAACAGGAUGCAUUUUUAACUGCUUGUAAUAGAAUAUGAGUGGGGGGCUGGGGAUUUAGCUCAGCGGCAUAAGGGCUUGCCUUGCAAGCAGGCAGUCGUGAGUUCAAUCCCCGAUACCAAUAAAAAGGAAAAAGACAAAAAAAGAAUAUGAGUGACAGAAAAUCAAAAUAACAAUGACUUCAUAGAAAUAGCAGUUUAUUCCUCUCCAAGUAAAGUCUACAGGCAGCCAACACAGCACAGCGGGGUGGCUCCCCACUCACAAAGGACUCAGCACCAGGCAUCCCAGAAGAGGCACCUGAAGCUCAGAGAGGACAAGUGACUUGCCUGGGACCAGACAGAAAAGAGGGGCAGGGUCGAUUUCAGAAACCUGUCUUAGUGCUCGAAAAGCCUAAACCUAGCCUAGUAGCCUCAGCCUCGGCUUCGCUCCUUCAUGUAGGGACUUUCCCUCAGGUCUAUGGGUUGCUCCUCUCCUCCCCUGGCCGAGUCUAGGCCUCCUUUAACCCCCGAAUUGAGUAACAGAUGCCUUGAUUCCGUCCCCAGGAGCCAUGGGAGAGAGAUGUCUGUCCUCGGCCCUCAGCGCUCUGGCCUGGUGCUCCCGAAGCUCUUUCCUGCUCGCACACUCAGAAUGCAGAGCAGCUUUGCUCUGUGGACAGAACCCCAAUACCAACAGGGACCCUCUAUGUUCUGAGCCCAUGGAGAGGGCACAGUGGACCAGGAAGAAUAAAAAUCUAAGGUCCUUUGGUCAUGCCAGGAGCAAAUAAUCCCAGGGAGGUACCACUCUGUGCCAAUUCCGGGGCUCCAGUAAAUGUGAAUAGGUUAUAUUUCUUUCUAAAUAGACAGUGACUCUUAGGGUUAAAAAUCAGAUAAAUCCAGCUAUGUGAUCUACACACACACACACAUGCACACACACACAAACACACACACCAAAAGCAAAAUAAUGCAGGGUAAAGAUAUGGGAUGGCAAAAGAUCUGUCAACCACUAUUAACCAAAAAUAAAAACAAGGAAGUGACCAGAUACAGCACUGUUACUGAUGGCAUCUCUUUUCCACGGCAGAAGUAUGAUUUGAACCGUGUCUUUCUGUCUCCUGAGUCCCCACUCCACUGGGAGUGUCCAGUUACCUUCCAUGAAGGUGACCACUGUCAUGACCUUGGCCUGAUGGGUUACCAUCUGGAGCCAGGUGUCACCACCCCCAAGUGGGCUGGGGCGGAUGGGAGCAAAGACAAGGCCGGGCUGCUGGAGGAACCAGUCCGGGGCAGGGCAUGCACCGGCCUCCCUGUGGGCAUCUGCCAACUGGCUGUGGCCCAGUUCCUAGAAUACCCGCUGCAGCCCACUGUCCAGCUGGCCCCAGCACAACUCCAGGCUCAGCCGCCAUCCCUGCUUCCCACUCCCCACCUCACAUGGAGGCCAGGAUGUUCCACAAAGCCACAGAGCUGAGGUUCCUGCCUGGAACCAGGCUCCCUCGGGCUGGCAGAGGACGGUGGGCCCACGGGCCCAGGGUGAGGUCUGACAGCAUUUGAGCCAGCACCAAGCUGACAGCCAUCAAGACUGGUAGGGACCCCAGUCAACUCCAAAACAGGGGCAAAAGCAGGUCCGGGGCACCCUCCUCGCUCCCUAGGGAGACUCAGCUUCAUCCCUCCACUAAGCAGGCUCCCCUCACCUCACAGGCCCUACCCAGAGCCCAGGAAGCCCCCUCCCCAGCUGCCUCCUUUCCAGGAACAGGGCAUGGCCAACGCCACGCCUCUUCACAUUCACCCCGGCUGCCACCUCCUCCAAGAUUCUGCCCCCGCUCCCGACGUCUGCAUCAUCAGGAGUAGGAGCCCAGGCACAGCUUUCUGUUCAUUGUGCAUUUCUCAGCCAGCACCACAAAUCUGGAUUGACGGACACGGGUGGCCUUUAAGGGUGGUCGGGAAGCCCGAGGCUCUGUACACAGCUCGUUAUCUGUGUGAGCAUUCGGGGGGCAGCAGUGAUCACUCGGAUUGCUCCUCUUGAGAAUCACUGCUCUAGACCCUGGUGUACAGCCAGGAACAGUAUCCAUCACCGUGUCCUCAAGUGCCACCCAACAAGCAGUCGUUACAUGUGAUUGAGUGAAUGUUGGUAUGAGUUUGAUGGAUGACUUCAGGCGAGGAACUUUGCCUCUUUCCGGUUUCUGGAACAUCAGAACAGGAGGAGAGUUCACGGCCUUCGCCUUCCCUCACCUCUGUUUGCUCCUCACGUGGGAUGGGUGCGUGGGGACGAGCGUGAGAAGAAUGAACAGAGGAGAGAUUGGGGUAGACGGGAGGCUCUGUGUGAGGUGAGUGGGGACUGGGUGGAGAGAGGACUCAGCAGUGCCGUGGGGCAGAAGGAUAAGUUUAAGCAUAGAAAGAUUAGGUCACGAAUAGGUGGGUGGGUGGGUGGAUGGAUGGAUGGAUGGAUGAGAUCAGUGGUGGAAAAAUGGAUAUUUGGGUGUGGAUAGAUAGGUAGAUGGAUUUUU